rnacentral:rRNA from 1 species
UCGGGAAUUUUGGGCAAUGGGCGAAAGCCUGACCCAGCAACGCCGCGUGAGGGAUGAAGUAUUUCGGUAUGUAAACCUCGAAAGAAUGGGAAGAAUAAAUGACGGUACCAUUUAUAAGCUCCGGCUAACUACGUGCCAGCAGCCGCGGUAAUACGUAGGGAGCAAGCGUUGUUCGGAUUUACUGGGCGUAAAGGGCGCGUAGGCGGCGCGGUAAGUCACUUGUGAAAUCUCUGAGCUAAACUCAGAACGGCCAAGUGAUACUGCUGUGCUAGAGUGCGGAAGAGGCAACCGGAAUUCUUGGUGUAGCGGUGAAAUGCGUAGAUAUCAAGAGGAACACCUGAGGCGAAGGCGGGUUGCUGGGCCGACACUGACGCUGAUGCGCGAAAGCCAGGGGAGCAAACG